UGAGGAAUAUUGGUCAAUGGGGGCAACCCUGAACCAGCCAAGUCGCGUGAAGGAUGAAGGUCUUAUGGAUUGUAAACUUCUUUUAUACAGGAAUAAAUUGGGGGACGUGUCCCCUUUUGCAUGUACUGUAUGAAUAAGGAUCGGCUAACUCCGUGCCAGCAGCCGCGGUAAUACGGAGGAUCCGAGCGUUAUCCGGAUUUAUUGGGUUUAAAGGGUGCGCAGGCGGGAUGUUAAGUCGGCGGUGAAAUUUUGCAGCUCAACUGUAAAAGUGCCUUCGAUACUGGCCUCCUUGAGUGUGGAUGAAGUAGGCGGAAUUUGUGGUGUAGCGGUGAAAUGCGUAGAUAUCACGAGGAACUCCGAUUGCGCAGGCAGCUUACUAAGCCACAACUGACGCUCAUGCACGAAGGCGUGGGGAUCAAACA
rnacentral:rRNA from 1 species